rnacentral:lncRNA from 1 species
GACAGUGACAAGCUAUGCCUCGAAGCUAUUGGUUUGCUCAUUUUGAGGAGUACAGGGCAGGCAAACAAGUAGACAGUAAUACUGUCUACUGAUACUGUGUCAUUGCAGUGAACAAGGUGAGUAUAAAAAGGAAGAAUAGACAAAUAGCACAUACUGCCCGAUAAAAUUGCCUUUCAAUUAAAUGACUUGAUAGGAGGUUUUAUAAGGGGGAAGGAGACCUCUAAAGUAGCUCGAACAAGUCAACGGGAAAGGUAGAAAAAGGGAAGGCACUAAGACAUAAAACUGGCUGAUCUGAAAUCUCAGAGAUGUUUGGGGGAUGGCGAGUCCUGCUGUGAUGUUGAUAAUUUUGAGUUGCCAUGUGGAAGUCAGCGGUGCUUACCCUCUAAGCAGGGUCUGAAGGUAAGGUCUCUGCUCACACCGGAGGGCUUUGGACAGGCUAUAUGCAAAGACUGUCAGGAGUGUGCUCAGAUACGGGUCUCCGAGUACGUCAUGGGAGGCACCAGACAAUGAGAAACAAUGCCUUUAGCCUGCAUCUACCUCGUCAUCUGCUCUGCAACAACUGGCAAAGCUGGGCCAUGGGGCAGCGGUGGGAGCUUUCUGAGCUGGCCUUGUUGCCUGCUUUGGGUGGCGUGGGCAGCUGUGGAAGAGCACCCUUAAUUUCAGAGUACUGUCGUGGAGAGCUCAGAGAAGCAAAGUGCCUGUGGGCACCUCUGGGACUGUCUGUUCUGCCAUCCAUCCUGUAUGCCGG